rfam:TPA: Bos taurus chromosome X, whole genome shotgun sequence.
UCCCUGGUGGUCCAGUUGUGAGGACUUGGAGCUUUUGCUGCCAAGGGCCUAGGAUCAAUCCCUAUUCAGGGAA